rnacentral:rRNA from 1 species
GACGAACGCUGGCGGCGUGCUUAACACAUGCAAGUCGAACGGAACGGCCCUGCUUUUGUGCGGUGCUCGACUGGCGAACGGGUGAGUUACCCGUGGGUAACCUGCCCCUGACUGUGGGAUAACCUCAUGAAACUGGGGCUAAUCCCGGAUAGGAGCUCCUGCUGCUUGGUGGGGGUUGGAUAGUUUCGGCGGUUGGGGAUGGACUCGCGGCCUAUCAGCUUGUUGGUGGGGUAGUGGCUUACCAAGGCCUUGACCGGUAGCCGGGCUGGGAGGGUCACCGGCCACAUUAGGCUGGAGCUGCGACACAGACUCGUACGGGAGGCAACGGUGGGGAAUAGUGCAUAGUGGACGGAGGGAUGGUGUAGCAAAGCCACGUGGGGGAUGACAGCCUGCGGGUAGUGAACCGCUUUCGCUUGUGACGAGACGUGAGUGACGGUAAUGGGUAAAGAAGCACCGGCUAACUACGUG